AAGAAGUGUAUGAGGUAACACCUUCCGUUGGUAUCAUGGAAAUAUGUCUCUGUCUCUUAAGGAGCUCAAUUAAUUGAGUGGCUGGUAAGGACUGCAAACCACAGAAGCAGACAAGACGUUUAUCUGACACAAGAAUUAUUGCCUAGAAGUCCUAGCAGGUGAAAAACUCUCUUAUUCCUCUACACAAAGAAACUAAUAUCAGCUUUUGUCUGGUAUGAGAUAAACUACAUAUUUUCUAAAUAAGCAAGACGUUCUAACAGGAAGGGGCAGCAUGCAAUCACACAGCCAUUUAGAUUUGAUCAAGAAGUGAACACAGUGUUUUAAGUCUGUAUAUAAAUGCUUUCAUUUUCAAAAAAAAAUAAACCACAAGUAAUUCACUUGCUGAGAAGUGCUAAUUUCCUCUUUUUUUCUCCAUUUACCAGCUAUUUGAAGUGAACAAAUGAAAAACGGAUCCCAGAAAUAAAUAGAAGGGAGUACUUAAAACCCUGGGAGAGUCACUCUACCAACCUAUAGACCCAGCUGUGGUCACGUGGAAAACCAACCCAACAAUUAACAACCACUUGCCUUUUCUGCCACCUUAUAUCUGAAAUAAACCCUUUGAACAAUAGGGUCAGAAUGAAUGAAGAAGAGAGGAGAAAUGAACAAGCUCAGACCAACACUGGGUACCUGACGUGUUCCUGCAAUCAAGCAACAGAUGGGUCAUGCCCCAGCUCCAAACAGCAGACUGGGAGACUUCAAACUGUCAGGAAGAUGGGGCUUUCUGGUGCCUAGAAAGUGAUCAAACAGCCCUGCCAUCAAAUGCCCUACUUCAUGCUCAACGAACAUUUUAUUAUUAUUAUUAGCUGGCUCUGUCUCCCAAAGAAGUUGUCCCUGACAUCAUGGGUUCACCUGCUUUUUCCCAUCCCAUGUC
rnacentral:lncRNA from 1 species